AUUGAACGCUGGCGGCAGGCCUAACACAUGCAAGUCGAACGAGUGGCGGACGGGUGAGUAAUGUCUGGGAAACUGCCCGAUGGAGGGGGAUAACUACUGGAAACGGUAGCUAAUACCGCAUACCAUCGGAUGUGCCCAGAUGGGAUUAGCUAGUAGGUGGGGUAACGGCUCACCUAGGCGACGAUCCCUAGCUGGUCUGAGAGGAUGACCAGCCACACGGGAACUGAGACACGGACCGUACUCCUACGGGAGGCAGCGGUGGGGAAUAUUGCACAAUGGGCGCAAGCCUGAUGCAGCCAUGCCGCGUGUAUGAAGAAGGCCUUCGGGUUGUAAAGUACUUUCAGCGAGGAGGCGUUACUCGAAGAAGAAGCACCGGCUAACUCCGUGCCAGCAGCCGCGGUAAUAG
rnacentral:rRNA from 1 species